AGCUAUUACAAUUAUUGUCUUGAAAAGUAAAAUCAAUUAAAUAUUUGCAGAGAAAUACACAGGAGGCAUGCCAAGAAUCCAUUUCAAGUUUCAAAGACAUGACAUCAGCAAGCCCAGUGAAAUGUGAGCCAGGAAAUAUAGAAGCAACAUGCUAAAAAUCCAACUUUUCAACGCUUCAAUAUUAGAUGUUCUGAUUGUUGCCUCCAUUCAACAUUGGUUUUACUCACUAGUUUCAUACUUUCAUUACAUGCAUGAGAUCAUCAAAAACAUUCUGAUGGAGGCUGUAGAUUUUGUCCAAUGGUGUGUAAUGCAGUGAUAGAGUCAAAUUGUGAUGCAGAACAAACACAGAAUUUCCACCUUCAAAAUUCCAGAUGCAAAAUGCCCCAAGG
rnacentral:misc_RNA from 1 species